GCCUUCAUGGUGCAAUGGCAGCACACUCGACGUGUAUUCAAGAGGUCCAGGUUCAAGUCCCGGCGAGAGCA
rnacentral:tRNA from 1 species